UACAGAGGGUGCAAGCGUUAAUCGGAAUUACUGGGCGUAAAGCGUGCGUAGGUGGUUUACUAAGUCAGGUGUGAAAUCCCCGGGCUUAACCUGGGAACUGCAUUUGGGACUGUAAGGCUAGAGUGUGUCAGAGGGAGGUGGAAUUCCACGUGUAGCAGUGAAAUGCGUAGAUAUGUGGAGGAACAUCGAUGGCGAAGGCAGCCUCCUGGGAUAACACUGACGCUCAUGCACGAAAGCGUGGGGAGCAAACAGG
rnacentral:rRNA from 1 species